rnacentral:lncRNA from 1 species
ACCGUGGCUUCCAGUGCUUUAAUGAACCUCCGAUGUGGGGCCUUCUGGCAAAACAUUUGCAAUUUCAUAUUGUUGAAGCAUUCAUUGUAUCCCUGGGGGUUUUCGCUAUGUUCGCGGUGGCUGAGCCAAGAAAGAAGGCAUGUGUCGACUCCUACAGAAAUGAUGAUUCCAUAAAAGAUUUUGAGGAGAUGAGGAAAACGUAUAUUUCAGAGCACAAAGUGAUUUUGCAAUAUAAAGAAUUUCUUUGGGUUGAAUUACCUAAAAGUUUGUCACUGACCUGUGUUCUUGAACUAUGAA